rnacentral:rRNA from 1 species
AUGUUUCAUCGCCUGGAGAAUAUUUAUCUUGGCAUAUGCAUUUGGGACCAGAGACAAAUCUCGGCAACUUGUUCAUUGUUUCAGAAUGCCCCUAACUUAAAGAUGCUUGAGCUAUGGAGUUACCCUAGGAUCACAUGGGAGCAGUAUCAGGAUCAGGCUAGCAUUCAAGAGCUUACCCGGGAAAUGCAAAUGGACCAUCUCGUAACGGCCAAUGUGAAACAUUUUGGGGGUCUGAACUAUGAAGUCGAUUUCGUGGCAAAGCUACUGAGCUGGGCACCUGUUUUGGAAGAGGUGAAAUUAGAGUGGAAGGGCGAAACAGACCGCAGCAUGGUUCUUACCAAGCUAUUAGCUCUGCCGAGGGUGUCUCCCGGAGCCAAGAUCAUUGUUACAUGA